GACGAGGGACCCUAGCGUUGUUCGGAAUCAUUGGGCGUAAAGCGGGUGUAGGUGGCUUUGUAAGUCAGGUGUGAAAUCCCUGGGCUCAACCCAGGACGUGCAUUUGAUACUGCGAAGCUUGAGUGCCGGAGAGGUUACUGGAAUACCUGGUGUAGUGGUGAAAUACGUAGAUAUCAGGUGGAACACCGGAGGCGAAGGCGGGUAACUGGCCGGACACUGACACUCAGACCCUAAAGCGUGGGGAUCAAACAGG
rnacentral:rRNA from 1 species